GAAGACGCGUCCGCCGUGGCUCAGGCACACGCGGGCGCCCCGGGGCUGCGCCGCCGCGCCGCAGAAGGUGAAGGAACAGCGCGAGGCGCGCAGCCGCUGCACCGUGGUGCGCACGAGGGCGGCCGGCCCGCGCCCCCAGCGCGCCCACAGCAAAGGAAACCCACUUUUGGAACCUCAGAUUUCUAGAAGACCUAAGAAAUCCUCCUCACUGCAGAUUGAAAAGGAGACAGAAACCAAGAAGAAAUAACCGGGCUCAUAUGCAAGGGCCAGGGACUGAACCCACACCACAGCUGUGACCCGAACCACAACAGUGACAUCUGAUCCUCUAACUGCUAGGCUACCAGGGAACUCCCCACAGGUGAGUUUUUGCCGUCAGCUCUCCUCCUUGCCUCUGCCUGGAUGGUUCCACUUGCCCUCCCGGUUUUAGUGGCCAACUGGCCACAAUGCACAGGUCCUCUGGCCUCUCCCAGGCUCCCAAGCCACAAUCACUGCUUCUACAUUUCUGUUUGGAUGGGCUUUUGGUAUCUCAGGAGCAACAUGAAUAAAACCAAAUGCAAUGUUCUCUCACAAAUUACCUCUUCAUCCUUAUUCCUCUCUAUUAAUGACAUCACAUUCUCCUCUUCACCUGGACCUAGAAAUUAGUCGCCUUGGAGUUCCUACUGCUCUCUGUCCUGCAUCCUGUCUAGUUCUCUAUCAGUGGAUGGUACACACAGUCAUUCAAGAAUCUCAUCUUCCCAGAGUGCCCUUUGUGGCGCAGCAGAAAUGCAUCCAACUAGGAAGCAUGAGGUUGCAGGUUCGAUCCCUGGCCUGUCGCAGUGGGUUAAGGCUCCGGCGUUACCGUGAGCUGUGGUGUAGGUUGCAGACAUGGCUCAGAUCUGGCUUGGCUGUGGCUCUGGCUGGCAGCUACAGCUCCGAUUAGACCCCUAGCCUGGGAACCUCCAUAUGCUGAGAGUGCAGCCCUAGAAAGCAAAAAAAAAAAAAGAAUCUCAUCUUCCCAUCACUGUGCCUCCAGUCCAGGCCCCCAUUCUGCUCCAUUGGCACUGCCUCCCCACUUAAUCCAGCACUCCUGCAUUUGACUCCCUGAUGCCGUCCCUCCCCUUCCCAAACCUCGUGCCUGCCCCUGGCCCCCAGCAAGUAAGUUCAGGAGGUUCUGCCUGGUAUUCAAAACCUUCCAUUGUACCCACCUCCCCUUACUGCCGUCCAUCCAUCCAUCACUCCACAUCCAUGGCACACCAAGCACUGCUUACCACUCCUCCACUUAACCCUCUGAGUAAUUCUGCAAGGUAGCUGCUGUUCCCAUCUUGAAGAGGAGGAAAUUGAUGGGGUUUUUGGAGGGUGAGGGGGUGGCAUUCCCAAGUUCCUAAGCCAGGGGUCAGACCUGCGCCACAGCAACCCAAGCCACUGCAGUGGCAAUGCCAGAUCCUAAACCCACUGAGUUUUAGAGCAAUUAAGUGACUUGCUCACAGUCCCACAACUACUAGGGUGGAAACUGGGGACCAGAUUUAUGUGUUUCUGGCACCAAAGUCCUUCAGUUGAUAAACUGGGCACCUGGAAGUGAAGAAAGCUGUAUGCACCACAAACAGUAAAUAGAAAUGAGACUCAAGCAAGAUCCAAACACCAGUGACAAAAGUACCAGGCUGGGCCAUUGCUGGCCCUGAGGACAGCCAUUCGUAUCCAGAUCAGAUAGGCUGGGACUGUCCAGAGUUUAACACACCCAAAAAGCUGCGGAUGGGAUUUCUCCACAGCAGACAGCUGGCUCUGUAAACACACAAAACAUCCUCCAGUACAAGAAAGAGGCUUCUCGAGUUCCCACUGUGGCUCAGUGGUGGCAACAAACCCGACUGAUAUCCAUGAGGAGGAUGCGGGUUCGAUCGUGGCCUUGCUCAGUGGGUUAAAGAUCCGGUGUUGCCAUGAGCUGUGGU